AUCAAAUUGUAAUGCUAAAACUAAACAAUAUUUUCUAAUGAAAUGUUUUGGAAAAUGCUUUGGUUUAUCAAUUUCCCAUUAUAAAAAGUUUAUUUGAGUUGCAACUGUCGGAAUCUCAGGAUUUGGCUUUUGAACUAGGGCACAUAUUGUUGGAAACAGUUGCUAAGUUUUGGAUAUGAUUUUUAUUAUAUUCUUAAUAGUGACAGGUGUCCUUCUGAAGUUAAAAUUUGAGAUAUCACUUUGUCUUCAGUCCAUUUAAAUUGUUACAUUCUAUAUGAGUCCUGAAGGACUGUGUCACAGCUCAUAAAGCAUGAUUAGGUAAAUAUAGAGAUGGGUAUUCAUGAAGUACGAAAUCACCAGGCACAACUGAAAUAUUUUUGUUGAAUUAUAAGUUCUUUCAUCAGUGACAUUCUACUACAGUUAUAUUGACUAGAACUGUAUUGGCUGCAACUGACAAGUGGUAUUUUUGUCAUCUCUGGAAGCAGUAUUUUAAAACUGAAUUAAUUAAAUUUCAGAUUAGACUGAAACCUGAAGAAAUGGGUUCUGGAUAUGCUGAUAGAGAAACUGAGAUUUUAAGAGGCAGCCCAGGAUUGCAUGGACUUCCAGAAAAACCAGCCCCUGAUUCAGAUGUAGGACCUCCUGAGUCACCAGGGGAAGAUGGAUCUGCUGGUGAACUGAGCCCUGAAGGUCCACAAGGUCUUCCUGGGCUUGAUGGAGUGGUUGGCCCACCAGGACAGAAGGGAGAAAAGGGUGAUAGAGGUCUUCCUGGUUCUGUUGGCGCAAAGGGUGAUACUGGGGUCACUGGAUCAAUAGGCCCUAAAGGAGAAGCUGGCGCUGAUGGUUCUCCUGGGAAACCUGGACCCCCUGGACCUCCUGGGCCCCCUGGACCUCCUGGACCUUCUGGACCCACAGGUGUAAGCUAUAGUUUAGGAUUUGAGGUAUUUUACUAUUAGGAACUUUAUUAUAGCUGUGGAUGUACUCUC
rnacentral:lncRNA from 1 species